GAUGAACGCUAGCGGCAGGCUUAACACAUGCAAGUCGAGGGGUAUAGUAGCAAUACUAGAGACCGGCGCACGGGUGCGUAACGCGUAUGCAACCUACCUUUUACAGAGGGAUAGCCCAGAGAAAUUUGGAUUAAUACCUCAUAGUGUUAUUAGAUGGCAUCAUUUGAUAACUAAAGUUCCAACGGUAAAGAUGGGCAUGCGUCCUAUUAGCUAGAUGGUAAGGUAACGGCUUAACCAUGGCUACGAUAGGUAGGGUCCUGAGAGGGAGAUCCCCACACUGGUACUGAGACACGGACCAGACUCCUACGGGAGGCAGCAGUGAGGAAUAUUGGACAAAUGGGCGCAAGCCUGAUCCAAGCCAAUGCCGCGUGCAGG
rnacentral:rRNA from 1 species